ensembl:lncRNA
GGGGAGUGAGCCGCGAGAAAAUGCAAACAAUCAGGACGGCAACAUUUAGGGAGAUGUCGACUCGGCACCGCCAUAUUUGCAUCGUGCCACCAAGCUGAGAUUUGCAGUAAACAUAAAGUAUAAGUGAGUAUUUGUUCAUAAUUAUUAGUUGUAGUUUGUGUACCACAUGUCAAAAAGUAUGUAUUAAAUGUUAAUAUAAUAUAACGUACUGAAGGUUUUAGGCUAAGACAUUAUAUGAGUCAGUCGUAACUCAUCAAAGAGCCGUGCUGACGCUUUGCUGAGUCGAGGUCAGGCUCGACAGAUGUUCUCUGGAAGUCACCGUGUCACACUUGGUGUUGAGAUGUGCAGCACGGAGGUCACUGCAGUCAGCGGAGAGAAGUCUUACAUACAUGCAACUAUGAGACAACAUUGAUCCUCCAGCUAAACAGAAACACUUUAUACACAGCACAGGUUAAUAAAGGCUUUCAGUCGUAGUUUGACACAAGUAUGACAUUUUCUUGUUUACGACGUUCAAUCUUCAAUGUUCAAUCUUGUUAUGUUGCCUUUAAAGGAUUUCUGCUGUCUUGUGAUUCUGACCUUGAAAUCCCAUUGGACCUUCAUACGUGUUGUCUGAAAAGCCUGGGGAAAUGUGAACUUAAUUAGAUCUGAUAGUUAGACAUAAUUACAUGACACCAGAAUGUUUUGAUGUCUACCUUGAAGGAACGUUCCUG